CCAUCCACUUUCCCAAUAUGACCUUGAAAUCUGUCCUCCAUUCCAGGAAGUGCGGAUAAACUGGGAAAUUUGAGGGGGUGGCCCUGUCUCAGGCGGGUGAGGGUGGGACUUUUUUCCAGUGGCUGUGGAGGAAUCGUCCCGUUGAGAAGUGCACUGAGUGAUGCGGCCAGGCCUAUAAAAGCAAAAGUUGUGUCCUGUCCCACAGGAGUGAGCGACAGGGAGGGCUGCUUACCUGGGCGUAGCUGUGGGGGAGGAAGUGGACAGUUUAGGGUCUCAGAGGAUAUAUGUGGGAGAUGACCGAGUUAGAUGGGAUGGGGGCUGUGGGGGUGCAAGGAAAGUUGAAAAGGAGACCAGAUCUUGGGAGGACUACAGUGAGGCAGGGUGCUUGGAAAUUGGCCAUAAGAACUCAUGGGGAGGACGGCAAUUCUCUAGGCGGGCCCUGCUUGUGCUCGACGGGGGGGACUUCACCUGUGGAAGGGCGCUGCUCUUCUAUGGAAUGAGGGAACCCCAGGGCCCUGGUUUGUGUGAGAGGAGGAUGGCAGGAAGAGGGAGGAGGAGUGGGGGCACUUGAUGCCCUGGGAGUAAUCAGGAAGGAUGGCAGAUGGCCUGGGAGGGCCGACCUUGAUCUUGUCAUACUAGCAACCCCCUUUUUUUCCAGACAGAGGGUUGUGAACCGGCCUGGGGUGAGGCUCUGGUCUUGUGGAAACUGAACUUAGCUAUGCUGGGCUGACAUCUUGGGCCCAGGCUGGUAUGUAAUUUUGGCUCGGCCUGUGGAGCCCCGGGUCGGAGGUGAGGGGUGGUCUAAGGAGUGAUGCCGGAGGUAAGGUGCCAUCCUCCCCUGUUACUGCUGUGGCACCUAACGUGACAGGCGGGGCUGCUGAAGUAGAAUAUGUCUUGGGGCAACAUUGACCAACGCUUUAUUUUCCAGGUGGCAGUGCUCCCCUUUGGACUUUUCUCUAGGUUUGGUGCUAAACUCUUCCGUGAGCUCACUCUACCCCUCUCCUCCUUUUAAUUCUCUCGAGGGUAUCCAUUCACUUAAAGUGUUUCUCCUGGUAAUCUGGUAAGCCUGGGGAUGUGGCUUGAGCCAAGUGGCUGUAUUAGACGGUACUGUUGGUAAUGGCCGAGUUGGACAGGCUCUUCCCCUGAGACUUGGGGCGGUAUGGGUUGGUGUUGCUUGCCUUCUAGAGGGUGGAGAUUGAAUGUGCACCUUUGGGUGGGCCCACAGGAUGGUUCCACCUGAAAGUUGAAAAGAUGCCUCAUGGACCGUGGUUUGUUGCUGUAGUGUUCAUCAUGGCGAGCAGAUGGCACCAGGAGAAAUGGAGCCCCUGGCCAGUGUGAGUCUAGCAGUGCAGGAGGGGAGACAGACCCUGGAGGAGAGGAGAGAGCCCGCCUAACUGCGGAUUGCAUUUCCAGAGCUUAGGAGGAGGAAGUUCUCCAAUGUCAUGUUUUCAGGCCUUGCUCCAGCCCCAUAUUUAGGAGGCCACCAUUUAAUAGGUUUUCAGAUGAGCUUGCGAGGGGGCAGUCCUAAAAAGUCCAAAGCAGCUGCAUCCGGCUUGCGGGGCCGUCGGCUUUGAAUGAAUGUAUGUUCCUGGAGCACAUGAAUGCCAGCACGCACCUCCUUCCCCCAUUUCCUUGGGGUAAAGGUUUUCAGAUGCUGCAUCUUGAGCCUCCAGCCAUACUAGUUCUGUGUUACAUGCUACGAACAGUGUUUGCUUCAAGAAGAUUCUUAAGCUGUAGAACAUUUUAACGUUGAUACCACCGCAGAGUGAUGUCCCAUAGAUGGAGCUUGCAAUGGAGCCCAGUGACCUCUCACCUACCACCUACUUGCCUACCUACCUGUCUUGGUUGGAGGAAUUCUUAGUGCAAUAAUAGAACUUGGGUGUUGGGGAAGCUGUUUGAUUUUAAACGCCUUAAACGGGAUGUAGUAGAUGAAGCAGGAUUUGAAAUUAAGGGGGUCAAUGUGUUGUGCUAAUGUCUGGGGGGAGUACAAGUUGGUAAUGUCCAAAUUCUGUGUGUUAGGGCUGGCAGGUCUAGACUAGGCAAUGCAGUUGCAUUACACAUUACUAACAGAAGGAAAUGGUGGGUGUAACAGUAGUGAUCUUUAUUUCCUGCUUCAUUAUACAAUUUUAUUUAUUGUUAGCAAUGGCAUCUCACCAUGUUGCCCAGGCUGGCCUCCUGGGCUAAAGCGAUCCUCCUACCCCAGCCUGAGUAGCUAUGUCAUAGCAUCCCACUCAACUCCAUUUUUUUAAACUUGAAUUUUACUUGACUAGCUUUCAAAGUAUUCUGGGGGAUUCCAACAGAAGGACCCUGUUGUAGGAGUUACAGAAGGUGGAGGGCACAGCAUGGGCACUGGUGUUGGGAGGGGUGGGGGUGAAGAAAGGGAGGGUUGGUUACGUAUAUGAGGGCUGUCCAGAAAGUAUCCAGCUAUGAAAUACAAAAAAUACAACAGAGGGUUGGGGUGUUAGGGUUGUGUGUUGACACCCCUAAUGCCAAGAAUUCUCUGGAAUUCUGGGGAAUCUAAUAAAGCUCCUGGGUUAACAAAAUACUAUAAUAGUAAUAGUAAAUUGUUAGCGUUGGUUAAAUUACCGUUUGAAAACUUUUUAAAGUACUUAGACCUUUUAAAUGUAAGGUGAAAAAAGCAAAAUUGUUUUGCUUUGCUGUGAGGUGGGAAAGACUCCGAAACAGUGUAACUGAAAACUUGAAUCAUUAGUCACUUGAAAGAUGGUGUCAAACUUGGAUCAGCAGAUUAACCUCCUUUACUGCUCUUUACAAACUUCAUAUGUAUGAGAUUUUCAAGAAUAUUAAGUCUUGGAAGAUUUCUAAAUGCCUAAAUUGUAGGCUUUUAAAGUAUUUAAGUGAGCACCUAAUAUGAGGUUGGAUGGACUCUUCUUUAAUUCAUAUUUCAUCACAUAUUUUGAGGUAGAAAUUUCAAGCAAAGUGAAAAUAGUUAUUUUGAAGGAAUUUUGUAUAUAAGUUGUCUUUUAAACACAUACUUUGUCUUUUCUGUGUUUGGGCAGUAUUAACAAUGGCAAAAGUUUUGCCCUGCUUACUAUUGUCUUCAAAUCAUAGUCAUUGUAACAAGGAGGACCAAAUAAUCUGGUGAUCACUGUAAAAAUUACUGUAAUACUGGGUAGCAAACCGAAUCCAUGUACAUUUGCUAAGGUUAGAAUGAAUAACCUAUUGUAUUUUUAGUUUGAGUGUUUGCUUUUUAAAUGAUCCAGGAUUGGGGGAAAACUAUCAACCAAAAAUAUGUUGACAUGGUAGUUCAAUUUUUAACCAGUGACUUGCGUGUGAUAAAAUUACUGUCGUUGGAAUUUAAAGUGUACUUAGUCAUGCAUGUAUGGGGAAAUACUCUCUGGUAUGCUGUUGUGAAAUUGAAACUGUAAAAAUAGGUGGUUAAAAAGUACUUCCAUGUUUCUCUGUAUGGUAAGAACUAAUUCUGUUGCAUCAUGUACCUAAUUACUAAUCAUUUUUCUUCCCCUUACAGCACAAAUAAAGGUUUGAGUUCUGAACUUAAUUAGAAUUGUUGUAUUACUAUGUUACAUUUCUCAACCCCCAUCAAGUUGCCUUCAUGAAGAAGUUGGAUAUAUCUUCUUCAUACUGUAGAUUUAGGUGUACAUUUGCUAGCUUCUAGAAAUCGAGGCCAUUCAGUAGAGCGCAGUAAUCUCAAAUAGAGGUGGUACAUUCUCAAGGCCUGCAUACUGGUGGGUGGAGAAGGGGAUGUUGCUCACUGUUGGGAGUUGGUAGUGAUUGAGGGAAAUGUGAACCACUCAGCCAAGGAGGGUGAGUGUCUGGGUGGGGGGACUACUUGGACUAUGGUAUCUUAAAACAUGACUUGGUUACAUUUCCAAGUGGUGCUUAUUUUCACUUGUUUAGGAGAAACAGUCUAAAGAAUAGAAUGAACAUGUAAUAUGUAUGUAUUUCCAUAGUUACAGUCUUUGGGAAGCUGGAAUGUAUCUGGGACUUGGUACAAGCACGUGAGAGUUUGGCAUGAAUUUUUUUCUCGGUAAAUGACUGAAAUGGGCUUCCUUGUGGUAUGUUAAGCAAACAGAAAUAGUGCAAAGGGCACGAGUAAUCUGGACUCUGCCUCGUGGCUUGUACAUGGAUUCUGUGUCUUGGGUGGGGGAUGUGGCAGCAGCGUUUCGACUGGAACUGUUCUGUACUUGUACUUAACACUGCUAUGUUAGCUCUUUUGAUCUGUAAGGUUUUGUCUGACAAGAGAUGGAUUUUUGGCUCAGAGUAGAAACCAUUUCCAGCCCAUGUAGGGCUGUUGUCAUCCUAGCUCUUGAGUGUGUCUUGUUUGCACUAGGAAGAGGAGAUCACGGUGGUGGCCAGCAAGCCUUCUGUCUGGGGCUCCUGGCACUGGCAAGAGUGGGCACUGCGGUGUGCGGGUUCCAGGAUUCACUCCCUGCUCACCACCCCUCUCCACCAAGCCUCCUUCCCUGUCUUCCCUCUUUGCCUUUUGACACAGAACCUCUCCACCUUACCUGGUCCUCUUUUCAGAACUCCAGUUCCUCCUCUUUAUUUAUUUAUUUAUUUAUUUAUUUAUUUAUUUAUUUAUUUAUUUAUGUAUUUAAGACAGAGUGUCAUUAUGUUGCCCUCAGUAGGGUGCUCCAGUUCACUGGAGAAGACCUUGGGGCUGGCCGGUGGUGUUUCCCACAUGGGAUCCUGGUUUGUUGCUUCUCCUGGGAGCCUCUGAAUAUGUGGGGUUUGUACCUACAGUAGCAGAUCUGGGUUCUAAUUCUGACUCUGCCACUUGGCAACUUUGUGACUGAGAGCAGGUUCCUCGUUUGUGAAACGGGGUGAAUGAAUGUGCGGGGCACACAGUACCUCCUCCCUGAGCUCUUACAGUGAAUUCUUUCUCUGUACCCCUUCUUUGCCUCCUUAGUUACACAGCAUCAGGUCUAGCCAUUUCCUCCUGGUUCCUUCUUCCAGUUCUCCAGCCACCUGCGUGCCUUGCUCUGGGCCUUUUAUGCAAGGGAUCAGUAUGUGUUAUUCCGUCAGCUCUGGUUGUAUGGUUAAUUGCAUUUCCGUUAACAUUUCCCUGAAAUCAGCAGAGUCCACAACCACAUGCGAAGUGUCUUAUUCUCAGGGUCCUUCCUUCUCCCUCAAGGAUUCUCUGGAUGGGCUUCCAGAAUUCUGAAUGUUCUGAAAUUGUGUGUGUGUAUUUUUCUGUGGCAAGGUCACUUUCAUCAGCUUGUUAAAGAGGUCAAUGCCUCAAGAAAGGAUAAAUGAAUGUAUUAUUUUAUUCCAAUGAGCUUGUAGGAUACUUAGCUAGUCUGUAAGAUUAAACAGUGUUUUGACUAUUUUAAAUUGUGCUACUGUGAGCGUUUCUGUAAAUUUGAUGUACAGGCAUCUUCCCGAGGGUGGCACAGCACUGCUCCCUCAAAAUCGUACAUGUCCUCUCGUGGGUGUAUCCAUUUGCCUAAGUAGUUGCUAACAUCAGGUUCUUUCAAUUUUAUUUAUUUGUUGCUACUUUAAAGAGAAUUGUGAAAUACACAUAAAAUUUACUAUCUUAAUCAUUUUAACCGUACGGUUCAGUACUGUUAACUUAUAUUCACAUUGUGGAUAUUCCCGGGAAUAAGUAUAUUCACACUCCAGAACUUUUUCAUCUUGUGAAACUGAAACACUGCACCAGUAAACAUUAACGUCUCCAUUCCUCCUCCCGGCAGCCCCUGGCAACUACUAUUUUUUCUACUUUCUGUUUCUGUGAGUUUGACUGGGUGCCUCGUGUAAGUGAAAUCAUGCAGUAUUGGUCUUUUUGUGACAGGCUUAUAUCGGUUAGCACAGUGUCCUCAAGGUUCAUCUAUGUCGAAGCAUGUGUCAAAAUCUCCUCCCUUUUUGUAGGAGCUGAAUGAUAUUCUGUGGUAUGUGUAUCAUUUCAUGUAUCUGUGGAUCUGUCAGUGGACCCUUGGGUUGCUUCUCCCUGUUGGCUGCUCUGUACACGUAUCAUUAUUAUAUUUACAAUAUGAUGCUGUGAUGUACAAACAUAAUUCUGAGACUCUGCUUUCAAUUCUCUUGGGUAUACAGCCAGAAGUGGUGUUCAUAUGGUAUUUCUAUUUUUAAUUUUUUGAGGACCCGCCAUCCUGUUCUCCAUAGCAACUGUACCGUUUCACACUCUCACUAACAGUGCACAGGAUUCCAAGUUCUUCACAUCCUUUCCAACACUUGCGUCUUAAUAGGCAGGUAGUGAUACUUCGUUGUGCCUUAGAUUUUUCUGAUGAUUAGUGAUAUUGAGCAUCUUUUCAUGGGUUUACUGGCCAUUUAUACAUCUUCUUUGGAAAAAUGUCUGUUCAUGUCCUAUGCCCAUUUUUAAAUUGGUUUAUUUGGUUUUUUUGUUAUGAACUUAACAGAAUUCUGUGUUCUGGAUAAUAACCCCUUAUGAGAUAUCCAAUUUGCAAAUAUUUUCUCCCAUUCUAAAAGACUGCUUUAUUACUCUAUUAAUUGUGUUUUAGUUUUAAAGUAGUUUUUAGUUUUGAAGCACUUUCUUUUUGUGUGUGCGUGUGGUUUUUGGCCGGGGAUAGGUUUAGUUUUUAGUUUUGAAGUAGUCUAGUUUAAUCUAUUUUUACUACUGUCGCCUGUGCUUUUGGUGUCAUAUCCAAGAAAUCUUUGUCAAAUCUAAUGUUAAAAGGUAUUUAUUCUUGUUCUUUAAAGUAUUUUAGUUGUCUUAAUCUGUGUUUCUGUAAUUGGCUAUUCUGACUAUUUUACCACUUGAUUUACUUUCUGUAUUUCUCCUCUCUGACCUUUCACCAUGUGAAAUUCUCAUUAACUUUGUGGUGACCACAACUUCUUGGUAUAAUUGGGACGGUAUGAUUUGCCAGUCAUGAUGGUCAAACUUAUUCUCUUUUUUUUCCAUAUUAUUGUUGGUGCAAAAAAUAUUAUAUAAAGUCUUUAAAAAUCAGUCUGAAAAGUCUAAUAAUAAUGAAGUCUAAUAAUAAUAACUGAUAAGUCUCUUGGAUUUGCUUCUGAUUACUUUGUCUUUACUAGCUAGAUAUGUGGUCCCAUAAUUACUAUACUCUCCUCCAUUGAAAUUCUUAUUUAUACUGGUGAAGUUGAAAUAGCAAAUUUGUAAUGAGUAAAUACUUUCUUUGCUUUUUUGCUCCAGGAACAUCUAUAUUAGUUUCUUAACAUUACCUGUCUAGAUCAAUUUUGGGAAAUUUUAUUUUUUUUAUUAGUUUUUAUUUAUUUAUUUAUUUAUUUUUAUUAAAUCAUAGCUGUGUACAUUAGUAUGAUCAUGGGGCACCAUACACUUGGUUCAUAGAUCAUUUGACACAUUUUCAUCACACUAGUUAACAUAGCUUUUGUAGCAUUUUCUUAGUUAUUUUGCUAAGACCUUUACAUUCCGCAUUUACUAGGACUCACAUAUACCCUUGUAAGAUGCACCGAAUUUUGGGAAAUUUUAGGCUGUGGUUUUAGUUGUUUCUAAUCAAAUACAAAGAAAUUUAAGUUACUAUUCAGUAUGUUUUAAAAUCUGGUAAGUGGGAGCUGCAAUACUCUAAAGCAAGAAUAUUCUCUCUCCUUGUUGAAGCUGGAGUACACAGAACUGAGUUAAUCAUUGGUUUAUGACAUAACAUGGCUUUCUUUUAUUUGCUUCCUUGUUUUCAGGAUCUCCUGUUCAAUAUAAAAACUAGGACAGCAGAGGCAAUAAUUUCCCUCUGCUUAGGUGGUCUCCCCGCCCCUCCUUCCACUGCCUUCCCUUACACUGAGAUCAUCAUCAUCCUGAAUCCUGGGUUUAUUUUUCACUUACUUUCUUUUCAUAUAUCCUUUAAAAAGAAUCUCGUCUAAAUGUGUUUUUUCAAAGUACAGGUUUUAUUUUUGUUGUUUUUACCUUUAUAGAAAAGCUAUUAUAUUAUAUGUAACCUUUUGAAACAUUCUCAUGUAAUAUGACUUUAAGAUUCAUCCCUAGCCUGGUGUGUAGUUCAUUCAAUUUGCUUGCUGGAUAGAGCCUGUCAUGUGACCAGGCCACAGUUAAUGCAUCAGUUUUCCCAUUGAUGGCCAUUGGGUUGCUUCUCUUCUUCUGUUAAGUGUCAUUAUAGAUAUGUGGGUGCUCUCAUUAUGCAGAAUUGAAAUGUGACUGACAGGUUUGUGCAACCAGCACUCUUCCCUCCAAAGAGAACCAGUGUUAGCUGCUGCCUGUGUUUCCUGAAAGACCUUUUACUAUUCAUUUCAUUUGUAUCUGAAAGAGAUGUUGCAUUGUUUUUGUUUUCUACAUAAGUGGUAAAUUACUAUUGUAGGUUAUACAUUAUUAAAUAGUUGUUUUCAUUUUGGUCAGGACAUUCAUGCGGGUACAUAUAGAACUGCUGUCGUUUUUUUUUUUUUGUUUUUUUUUUGUGGAUUCUGGCCGGGGCUAGGUUUGAACCCGCCACCUCUGGCACAUGGGGACUGGCACCCUACUCCUUGAGCCACAGGCGCCACCCAGAACUGCUAUCGUUUUUUUUUUUUUUUUUUUUUUUUUUUGUAGAGACAGAGUCUCACAUUACCGCCCUCGGUAGAGUGCCGUGGCCUCACACAGCUCACAGCAACCUCCAACUCCUGGGCUUAAGCGAUUCUCUUGCCUCAGCCUCCCGAGUAGCUGGGACUACAGGCGCACGCCACAACGCCCGGCUAUUUUUUUUUUGGUUGCAGUUUGGCCGGGGCCGGGUUUGAACCCGCCACCCUCGGUAUAUGGGGCCGGCGCCUUACCGACUGAGCCACAGGCGCCGCCCUGCUAUCGUUUUUUUAAACUGCUGCCUAGUAUUUCCUUUCCAGGGCAUACCACAAGUUAUUUGUCUGCUAUUGAUGGAUAUUCACACUAUUUUUUAUCUUUCGAUAUUAGAAACAACACCGUGUGAUUAUCGUUAUACACAGCCGCUUAUGCACAACACCUGAGUGUUUUUCAGGGUGGGUUACAGAAAGCAAAAUUGUUGGGUCACAGGAUGUGGGUCAGACAUUUUACUAUAUUCUGUCCUGCUGCCCUCCUGAGGGGGCAUACAGAUUUGCAUACUUGAGUAUGUGAAAUCUGUUCAUAUUUUCUUUGAUGCUCUAUAUAUGGAACUUAAAUUUCCACUAGUUGCCACCUUUGGUCUGUCACGUAUGCACAGUGACUUGCUGAGUCUUUAAUUGGAAAAGUAGAUUCUUGUUAUCUGUAUGAAUUUAUAACAUUUGUGGGCUUAAUGCUGAUCGGGCCCUCAGGGUCCAUGACAAUGUAAUAAUUUAUAAUUUCGUCAUGGGGUAAGUUUGAAACAUUACUCACGUCAUGGGGUUUCGGGGACACUCAACAUCAUGUUCUUCUUCCAUGUCAUACCGUGGCUUCAUUUUCUGCUUUUCCCUGCAUUGCACAAUUCUUCUGAAGAAACAAAAAUUUUGCAGAUUUUGGUAAGUCCAUGGCUAAUGUUAACAUUACUUACUGUUGUAAAGGCUGGGACUGUGGAGUGUACGUUUGUGACAGUUUAUAAAUCAGUAGUCUUGUAUUUAAAUGCAGACACUACAGAAAAAGGCAAUGUAGAAGAUCAAAGUUCCUCUAUAACACCCUACCUCUAAGAUAACUGCUAAUGACAACUUCAUCUGUGUCCUUCAGAUAUUUUCCCAUUAUGAAUGUAUUAAAAUUUAUGCUGUGAUUAUUCUCUGCUUUAAAUGGAAUCAUACGUGUACUAUUAUUUUUAUAAUUCCAUGAGUUUAAUUUUGUGCAUGUCAGUGUAUUUAUUUUAACCAUUUUCCUACUGAUGGCUUUGAGGCUAUUUCUGGAGUUUUCUGGCCUUACAGAGUAUUGCAGUAAGCUCCUUUGAACUCUUGAUCGGUUUUCUGAGGCUUGUCUGCGGCAGGCCCAAAGGGGCGGUGAGGGCUCUAGCUUCCACUACUCGGCCCAGGACAUCCAGUUUUGUAAGGUGCCUUGAGAGCUUCUUUUGCCAAAAUAGAAUAAUGCUGCUGUGUUCUCCUUUUGUGCCGCUGAAUUCAUUGAAACUGUGGUGGCUACAACCACUUGUCCAUACCAGAAUUUAGUAUAAAAUGGCUUCUGACUUAGCACCAAACAGUAAUGGAUCCUAUGAGUUCUAGCAUCUACUUUCUGGUGUUAUUUCCCCAGGCAAGGUAAAGAAAGUAUCCUAGGAAAACAGUUGUAACUGGGCGGCGCUUGUGGCUCAGUGAGUAGGGUGCCGGUCCCAUAUGCCGGAGGUGGUGGGUUCAAACCCAGCCCCGGCCAAAAACCACAAAAAAAAAAAAAAAAAAACAGUUGUAACAUUUGUGAAAAGUGGUAUUUAAUUAUGUGGUUUGUUUAUUUUAGUCUCCCUGGGUAGAGAGCCCUGGCAUCAUAGCUCACAGCAACCUCAAACUCUGGGUCAUUUUCAGUAUCUGUUUUGUCUGUUGGCUCCCACCUGGUGCCCUGGUGGGGAAGCAGUGCUGUCUGCUUCUGCCUGUCCGUGGUACAGCCGGGGCUCCCUUCUGGGCCCAGUGCAUUCUCUCUUCUCAGAGGGGACACCUAAUGCCAGGAGCACAGAGUGAACCCUGCUCUGACUCCUAUUUGCUUGCCUCAAAAGGUACACUCAUAGGGGCAUGGGAAGCUGAGCAUUGGGGACAGCAAGGCACCACUCCAGCCUCGCAUCUGCCUGUGCCUUACGAUCUGGAGAAGGCAACAGUUGAGUUCCUUACGCCCUCAGCCUUCAAAAUGACCACGCACUGUCCUCCUUACUAUUCUAUACUAUUCUAUCAAUGUGGCAACUGUGUGUGACCCACCAUCUGUGUGUCAAAGCAAGGUCUUGUCUCAGCCUCUGCUCCUGUGGUGACAUCAAAGGCAGAUGCUUCCAAUUUAUUCCAGAUUAAAAAAAUGUUCAAAGUAAUACCUACACAUGUUCAGACUUCAAACCCUGUAGUGAUACAGGGAUGUCUUUCUCUAACCCCCAGCCUCCCUUCCCACAGAGACAACUGUCAUGGCCAGUUGCUGGAGUUUCUUUCUGGAGAAUUCUACACACAUAUAAAUCUGUAGACGUCCGAGUAUAUCGCAUACCCUGUCUUGUACUGUGAUGGCUCAGUUAACAUAUAUCUGGGAGAGCACUGCACAUCUGUAUUUUUAGUCUACAUUGGUCUUUUCAACAUCUGCGUGGUAGCCAUGUUUCUAGCAAUUUUUACUGUAUAUAAGGCUAUACUCAGUAGCUAUCUACGUGUGUGUUUAUGUACCUGGGAAAGUAUAUCUGUGGGGGGGAGUUUCCUUCAGAAGGAUUCUGGGUCACAGUAUGAGUAGAUUUCUAGAUAUAAUGGAUGCUACCAGCUUGCCCUCUAGGGAGACUGCUGCACAGACAUUUCUCCACACCUCCACCAACACUGUGUUAUUUGUUUGUUUGUUUGUUUGUUUUUGUAGAGACAGAGUCUCACUGUACCGCCCUCGGUAGAGUGCCAUGGUGUCACACGGCUCACAGCAACCUCUAACUCUUGGGCUUACGCGAUUCUCCUGCCUCAGCCUCCCGAGCAGCUGGGACUAUAGAAGUUUCCUGGCUAUUCCUGCAUGUUUACUUUAACCUUCCCUACGGUGUCUCCAUGCUGUUGUCUUCCUGUGUGAGAAUAAGAGUUGGUUUUGACCACCCCCAUUUCUGAGGCUUUGUAAAGGCCAGAGCUUUGUUGCUUCAAGAGCAGGUUGGGACUUAGAUGACCCUGCACAUUUCCUCUCUGCUGCUGUGAUAAGUAAGUGCCUGCACUUCGUGGUGUGUUUUGGGGGGAAGCGGGAGGCGAAGCUGAAGGGUAGUGUGAAGGGAGACAGGGACACUGGCAGGAGGAAGAUGAGGGAGGGGGCAGAGGCAGUGGGCCCACAGGCCACCUGCCCUUUGUGGGGGCUGAGGCUAGGCCCACCUGGUGGUCUCUGGACCUUGGAGGGGUGUGUGUUUGUGAGGGAGAGAACUCACUCUGUUUAGAGUCCUCAGAAUAAGGACUUGGAUCUCAGCUGAGCCUGACACUGUGUGCCCCCAAGCAGGUUACAGCCCUCUCUGAGUCUCAGCGUCUCAUCUGGACCUUGUUAUGAAGGGGCUUCUGAGCGUCUCAGCACUGGCAGGAGUUGGUCCAUGGGCUCUUCUUCUGUGAUAGGCUGAGACAGGACUCGUGGACAAGGACCCACCAUGGCCCAGGGGAGGCAGAGCCUGGGUCAGGAGCAGGGAUUGCUGUGGGGAGUGGACUUUGAGGGUGACCUGGGGGCAAGUACUGGCCAGGGGUGCAGGGUGGGCUUCAUGUACCUCUUGCCUCUGGGGCCCUGGUGACUGGACCUAUCCUCCCCAGGUCAGUCCAGUGAGAGAAGAGACUGGUGGGAACAUGAUGCUUCUAACUUCAUUUUCAAAUAAUGGCAGUUCCCAGGAAGGAGUCUGCAGCUGACGGUCUGGCCAAGGGAUCCGAGGACAGAAGGCGAGGGAGGUGGCGUGUCUGUGGACAUCAGGUGGCCGGGGCCCAGCUGACCCAGAGGACCAUCAGCAUUUGAGCUAGGCCAGAGUGCUAGAAGUUUCCCCUAGUUCUUAGAUUUCCUGUUCUGAUGAAAAGAAUUUUGCCUUUCAUCAUAUAAGUGAUCUGCAUAGAGUUAAAAAAUUCAAGCCAUGGACAUAAAAUGAAAGUAACUCCCUCUCCCUUUACCUAUCCCAGCCCUCCUACACAAAGGUGGCCUCUCAAGUUUCUUAGAAUCUUUCUGGAAAUUUCUAUACACAUAGAGAAACUGGUUAUGACUGACACUUCCCCGAGAAGGAGCAGGGCUGUGACUGGUAGUUCCCUUUGCUGGUCUGACGUCAUAUGCUCCUGUAGUUGGGAUGUGAAUCUGGCGCAACAGGAAACACAUGGGCUUGAAGCUGGGGACAUUGUGUCCCUGCUAUGCCUUUGCAAGAGCUGUCAGAGAGGCAGGUGGUGAGCCUGGGAGGGAGAGAGGUGUGGAGCCGCCGCAGGUGUUUCUUUUACUGAAUGCGGCCCAUGGCCGCGCUCAGGUUUUGCUUUUCACCUUUCAGUCUGUGAGAAAAUGAGCAGGAAAAAGCAAAAGGCGCUGGUGGUGGCA